AAAUACAAUUUCUUGCACCUGUUUACUCUUUGUUUUACCCCAGGCACUGAUUUGGGGGAACCCAGACAUUGAGGUUGUUCAGAGGACAACUAUGAGUCCCUUCUGUCAUCUUCUUCACCAUUGAUUUUAAAGACGCUCAGAAGAUAUAAUUUACCGCCUCCAGAAGUCUAGCCGAGCACAACUGGAUGGUGUCCAGCUCCGCCGGCAUCAGAGAGGUGAGUUCCAGCCUUCUUAUUUCUCAAUGAAAGAAAAUGUUAUACCAGGUGAGUUAACUCGGUC
rnacentral:lncRNA from 1 species